AACAUUGCCAUCACCAAUAUCUACUCCCCUUCUUCACGUGCGCUCAAGCAAUCCUUCCUAGAUGAGCUCCUAGCUAUAUCACAACCAGAUGAUUCUCCCUGGCUGGUUGUUGGAGACUUCAACCUCCUUCGCUUCCCCUCUGACAAAAACAAUAACACCUUCCGGCAGUCUGAGGCCAAUGCUUUUAACCAAACCUUAGACAAUCUAGCCCCCAUCAAACUGCCGCUCCUUGAUCGCCAAUUCACUUGGUCGAACAAUAGAGAUACACCCACCUUAGAACGGAUCGAUCGCGCUUUCUUUAACCUAGCAUGGGCCGAUGCCUUCCCUAACACAUAUCUAUGA
rnacentral:rRNA from 1 species